UAAAAAAUAAUCACCUCUGAAAAACUCAACAGUUGUUAUCCCUUCUCUCAGGAAGCAGAGAUGGACAAAUUUCAAGCAUGUCUUCUAGGCUCUUGGCUGUCUUGAUCUUUUUUCCAAAAACCCCUUGUCUGCUUAAGCAAAAUGAGCUUGUUUGAGGGAAUGGAAUCAAUCCACUGAGAAAAUGGUAAAAAUAAACCUGAAGGUUUUAUCUCUAAAAAUCUUUCCUAUGAACACAUUAUGAUUGAAAAAGAAAAAUAAAUCAGCAUCUCUCAAUACAACCAAAAGAGAAAUAUGAAAUAUUAAGCAUUGUAAUAUGUUCAUGAUCCCUUCACAAGUCAUUCUUGGCAGUUCUUGCAAAUGAAGAAGGUUUUACGAAAACUGUCUGAAAUAGUUUCCUGGUUGUUAAUGAUCCUUAAUAGAGCAGAUGGAAUUCUCCAGUCUGAGCAGAAACUACAAAAGAGUCUCUGAGGUUUAUGAUGUGUCAUUUGGUUUGCAUCCGGCAGAUCUCAUCGCAUUUGGAACCUCUUCAGGAUCAGAAAACAAUUAUUUCUGCUAUCUCACACAUUCCCUGUUUGAUAUCUCUAAAUUCAUGUCACAAGGGAAUCGCCUGGUAACUUACCUAGGUGUAGGAAACCUUCUCCAGAAAGUUCUUAGCUGGAUUAAAGGAAUGUCUACAGUCAUUUUUAAAACAGGAACUCCAUACUGCUGAAGGAAAAUCAAAGCUAACAUGAGUUUCCUCAUGCUGUUGGUGGUGAUGAAAGGAAAGAUACUCAUCCUCUUCUGUGAUCAGCAUCACCCACCAGUGAUGAACCAGGUGAAGGGAGCUGAAAAACUGCAGUGAGAGACUGGUGAUACCAGCCAAUACCUGAAGGCAAGUGAAUGCCAUCAUGCCACUGGAGGGUGAUUGGAGGUUUUGAUAUUCUACAUCCCAGAGAAAUAAUGAAAGCAUCACUACCAUGAGAUGAAUUCUUUCAACAAUCCUUGGAAUAGGACAACUGCUGAGAUCCAUGACAUAUUAUAUGUUAUGAUCCCCAUUAAAGUGUACUUCAAUAUACUUACACUUGAAAGGCUGCCCAAGGCUAAGUGGACUGAUUUAUUUGUCAUAACAACAUGUAUUGUAUAAGUAAACUUGAAUGUGGAUAGUGAAUGCAAAUAGGAAUAUGGGCACAGGAAGAAAUUAAACUCCAUGCUCCCUCAGAGUGAAAGAUUGCAGCAGUCAUUUAUAUGUUGUUUAUGAGACUUAAAAUGUUUACUAUUUCACAUGUUGUGUUGACAAACUAGUCUGUCAGACAUGAUCAGUCAGGUGGCAAAAAUUAAUCUUCUUUUCUUCCAUCACAUACCUUUCCUCAAGCCAGAGUAUCUGAGAGAUGUGUUUUAUAAUGAGAAUGGGUAGCACUUUCUUUGACAGUUAUUUUUACUCUUUCUAUUCAUAAAGUCACUUAUGAUACCUCUGCCCUCUGGUUUUCCAUUUCUAUUCUUACUUUUAUUAACUGAGUUGAUCUUUUUACUGAAUCCGUUAGCAUAUAAAGGAUAAAUUUUUCAUUCAAGGGAAUUUUUAAAACUGGUGAUGCUAUGCCCUCUGGAAACAAGUCUGGUUUUAGAGCUUCCUCACCUGAGAUGGUCAGCAGAAUGAAUGUUGCUUUGGUAUUGCUUCUGUAACAAUGUGAGCUGUUUGUCCUGCACCUUCUUGGAUAGAUGUGAUGGUCUGGGCUCCCUCUGUCCUUUUAAUAAGUUCUUCAUUAAAAAAGAGAUCUGAUGCUUCCUUUAGGGUAACUUAAUAUUUUCUUGUACUAGUAUCUGGUUUUCUACUGAAAGCUUAAAAAAAAGACAACAGAGAAGCAAGAAAUAAAUAGUGCUCAGUCGAGUUUUAGCUCUUUCACCUAGUUAUUCUGGUUCCUGCCUCAGUUUCUGAAAUUCAUAAGGUUUUAAUUUGACAUUUAGGUUUGUUUUGUAGGUUGAAAAUUGGAAUAAACAAAGUUGAUAAACAUAUUUAGUCACUUUUAAAAUGUUUUAUCAUUAAUUCAGGAGAUCUGAAAUAGUUUUUCUUUUUUUUUUAAAGAGCUUACACUUUUACAUUUCUAGUCAAUAAAUAUCACUUAACUGGCAAAUACAUAAAGGUAGAAAUAACUCUCUGAUAUAUUUUAAGUGCAUAAACCUGAUGGCAUGACUUUCUAAAAUUAUUAGACAGUGCAAAGGAGAAUGGGAAAAAUUGCUCUCAAUACAGAAAUUUCUUUCUAACGCAUCAUUUAUAGUCUCUAAAAUACUGUCAAAGUAAACCAGAAGCUAUGAUUUUGGAAAGACAAACACACAGACAUCAAAUCUUAUGGUCAUUAAAGUUGAAAGCAAAGUAGUAAUUGCUGGACACACUGGAAGGGUAAAUCUUGAGAAGGCCACAGGGAUGACAAAAGUUCUAUUUGUUAAAUCAACAGUUUGGAACACAAAAGCAAAGAAUAAAGAAUGAGGACAUCAGUAGUUCUCUCUGUUACUGGAGCUGCAUAAGUGUGUGCAAAACAGAUCUGAAAGAUCAUUUUGGACACAGUAAGAAUUCUGUAUUUGAGGAACCAAGAAGGUACAAGAGCUUUAGCUGCCCUAGCGUCAAGGAGGUUCAAGUACUAUGAGGUUGGAGUGAUAUUGAACAGACAAAACUCCAUGUUUGUUUAAUCCUGGGGAAACCUGGAACAGCUAGAGGUAAAUCCAAUGGGUAAGAAUAACAAAAAACCCAGAAAACCCACAACAAACCAGCAAAAAAAAUCUAAUUCCUUGGUUUAUUUUUCCUUUUUCUAGUUCCCUAAAGUUUGUUAUCUUUCAAAAUGUUCAGAAACAUAACCUCUUCCUUCUAAAUCAAAACAUAGUUUAAUUUUAAGCUUAAAUACCCUUUAAAAUGAACCUGAGAAGUCUAGACACCUCUUCUGUGUGAAAAAAAGCAAAUCUAAGUCAAGUGAACUGUGAAGACAAAUAGGUUUUAAAGUUUCAAUUGAAAAUUUAGAGCAUCUCAGUGUGCUGGUUGUCCAAGUACUGCUAUUCAGGUGAGUGAAAUGGGCCCUCAGAAAAUGCUGUAGGAAAUAUUAAUAAUCCUUUAGUAGUUUAGUAAUUUUCAUAUUUAAAAUUUACAUCAUAAUUGUCCACUGUAUUUUUCCUCAUGUGGAAUUUGAGAGAUAAUUAUUUAAAAAUAGGAUUUAAUUAUAGUAAAAAUAUUGUAUGUCAUGUGGAAGACCUCUGAGAUUUAAUAGUUCCCCACAAAACUGAACAUGAUCAAACCAAAUGAUUAGCAGGAAAGCUAAUAAAAAAUAACAAAUUGCCAAAUUAAAAUGACAAUGUAUAACAAUGUAUACAAAAGGAAAUCUUUCUAAUCUGUGCAUAAUUUCACUUAGUCAAAUGAAUUUUGUUCAAUCUAAUGGAUUCCAUGGUAAAAUUCAUACUGCCUAUUACACAAUUCUAGUUCUUUCCUUGAAAAUCUUUUAUAUCUACUGUUAGAAUAAAAUACUAGCAAAACCUUAAACGGAAAAUUCUUAUAUUGAGUUUGUAUUCAUCCACCUCCUUUGGUUAGUCAUCCAAGGUGUGCCUAAUUUAUGUGUUCAGCCACUAGAAUUUUGGUCUUUUUCCUAUUAUUGAAAUUCAGCUUGAGCCUUGAGUAUUUUAUGCCUUGCCUACUCAUUCUCUUGACUCCUCCAAACUGUUCUUGAAUAAAUCUUCUAAUUUUUUUUUUUUUUUAAAUUUUUUUUUUAAGAUCACCACGGUUUCUCAGAGUUUAGUUUAUUAUAUUGUAUUUAAAUUAUCUGGCAAUUUUGCUUGCUGUCGUAAACUCAGGUUUCUUCUUCCUACUGUAAAUUCUUACUGGUAUUAGAACUAGUAGUAGACCUAUAAUUCUUUGUUAAGCAGACAGGCUAUUUUUAAUAAAAGCUAUUUUUGUAACAUUGCAUAAUUCAC